rnacentral:rRNA from 1 species
CCUACGGGAGGCAGCAGUAGGGAAUAUUGCUCAAUGGGGGAAACCCUGAUGCAGCGACGCCGCGUGCGGGAUGAAGGUUUUCGGAUUGUAAACUUCUUUCGUCAGAGAAGAUAAUGACGGUAUCUUACGAAUAAGCCCCGGCUAACUACGUGCCAGCAGCCGCGGUAAUACGGAGGGGGCAAGCGUUAUUCGGAUUCACUGGGCGUAAAGAGCGCGUAGACGGGAAAGCAAGUCAGAUGUGAAAGCCUAGGGCUUAACCAUAGAACUGCAAUGGAAACUGUAAUGCUAGAGUAUGGGAGAGGUAAGUGGAAUUCCUAGUGUAGCGGUGAAAUGCGUAGAUAUUAGGAGGAAUACUAGUGGCGAAGGCGACCUACUAGAACAUAACUGACGUUGAGGCGCGAAAGCGUGGGGAGCAAACAGGAUUAGAUACCCCAGUAGUC